GGAAUAUGUGUCUUGUCCCAAAUGGAACCAAACUAGAAAAGGCAUGAGGACGCUGAGCUGCCAAAAAGACGAUCAGUAUUCAUUUUGCUUUCGUAUUAUAUAUAAUCAUCACUGAAUAUGUCAAUGGAAAAACCCAAGAGAUUUAACUACUUGAAAAUUCAAAAAUUUAGGAUAACUUUUGCAUGCAAAAAUGUAAUGACCUGAGAUAAAUAUUUACAACAAAUAUAAUAGAAAAUAGGUUAGUGAUUUUUAAAACAAUUUACAAACAAUAUGCAAAUAUAUCUUAAAAAUAUAAUUUAAACCUGCCAGAGAAAUUUAAAAAAAAAUCACAAGAUACAAACAAAUGAUUCAUAGAACUACAAAUGACUAGCAAACAUUUUUUUAAAAAUCUCACAUGUUAUCAAAGAAAUGCAAAAUUAAAACAACAGUAAGAUUGUCAUUAUCCUUCUAUGGCUUGUCUGUGGUAAAUGGUUUGCAAAGAUCAUUCCUCCAUUGCUACAAAUUCAUGUCACAUCUCUUCUCAAGAAGUGCCAUUUCUCCUUCUCCUGUGAUUUGCUUUGAGCAGUAGAAUGGGGUAGAAGUGAUGUUGUACCUCUGCUUGGCUUGGUUUUUGAGAAGCCUAGCAGCUUAAGUUUUCUGUCCUUUUGAAUUGAACUGCCAGGCUGAUAGGAGGACCUGAUAGAAAAAGAGGUCACCGGGAGCAGAGCAAAGGCCAUCUGACAGCCAAAUCCCAUGCUCCAGACAUGUGAAUGAUGCCUUCCUGGACCUUCAAACCCAAGCAGCUUCCUGCAGUCCAUGAGUGGCUCCAACAGAUUCCACAUGUGCAGAAGAACAGCCAAGACAACUCAAAGACUCAUGAGAAAUCAUGAAUUGUUGCAGUUUUAGAAGCCACUAAGCCUUGGGUGAUUUAGUAGGCUUCAACAGAUAAUUAACACAUUGUCAAAGAUUUCAAAAUCACAUGGCUUGGGUUGUGGCUCAGCGGUAGAGCACUUGCCUCACACGUGUGAGACACUGGGUUCGAUCCUCAGCACCACAUAAAAAUAAAUAAAUAAAUAAAUAAGAGAAAGAUAUUGUGUAAAAAAAUGCUUCAUUUAAAAAAAAAUUUCAAAAUCAAAAUGUUCAACUUCCUGUAGGUGCAGAGAGAGAAGUAUUUCCACAUAUUGCUGGUGUGCAUACAAAUUUAUAAAGCUUGAUUAUGUGGUAGUUUUAAUUUUUUGAGGAAACGCUACACUGUUUUCAAUAGUAGCUGUACUGUUGUACAUCCCCACCAUUAUGCACAAGGAUUUAAGUUUCUCCCCAACACUGUCAACACUUCCUGCUCACCCUUCCUCCUUUUGGUGAGAAUAGCCCUCCUAAUGAACAUGAAGUGACAUCUCAUUUUGGUUUUGGUUUGUAUUUCUAUAAUGAUUAAUUAUGUUCAGCAUCCAUUCAUAUGCAUGUUGUCCAUUGCUGCAUCUAUUCAAAUACUUUAUCCAAAAGAACUGAAAGUAGAGUCUCAAAGAAAUAUUUGUACACCUAUAUUCAUAGCAGCAUCAUUCACA
rnacentral:lncRNA from 1 species